rnacentral:lncRNA from 1 species
AUGGGCGAGUACGCGGGUGCCACACGCUCCUCGCCUUCUGCUGCCUGCAACUGGUGGCAGCGCUGGAGCAGCAGAUCUUUGACUUCCAGGGCCGCCUACCAGUGAGCUCCCACCCUAGCCAAUUUCCUGCGCCUCGUGGCGCUCACCCUGGGCAUCGUGGGCACCGCAGUGUGGCUGACGCUCCGGGCUGGCCUGAGUGCGUUUAUCACCUGCUUCUACCCGAAGGCUGGACCCAAUAUCCCCAGACCGCGACUUCCCCACAGCGUCCAAAUGCCCCUGUACCGAUCCAGGGAUGGAGAAUCGCCGGGCAGCGGGCGACUCCGGUUCUGAGCUUCCCCUGGCCAUGGGGGGCUGCCGUGCAGUCUUGUCCCUGGCUGCCUGCUGCACUGUCCCUGCAAAGAAGCCCUCAGCAGCGCCCGCAGAUCCUCCUGGCGCUGCUCCGCUUCCUGUUCGCCAGCUAUGGGAGCAAAGUCUUCCUGAAGGAGGAGGCAGCUUUGACUUCAUCAGCGGCUUCCACUCCUAGGGAUGCCAGGCGCCCCAGAAGACGUCACGUUGACACCAGCAGCCUCUAUGCGCUUCGGG